rnacentral:rRNA from 1 species
ACUCCUACGGGAGGCAGCAGUGGGGAAUAUUGCACAAUGGGGGAAACCCUGAUGCAGCCAUGCCGCGUGUGUGAAGAAGGCCUUGGGUUGUAAAGCACUUUCAGUAGGGAGGAAGGUAGUGUAGUUAACACCUGCAUUAUUUGACGUUACCUACAGAAGAAGCACCGGCUAACUCCGUGCCAGCAGCCGCGGUAAUACGGAGGGUGCGAGCGUUAAUCGGAAUUACUGGGCGUAAAGCGCAUGCAGGCGGCCUGUUAAGUCAGAUGUGAAAGCCCGGGGCUUAACCUCGGAAUUGCAUUUGAAACUGGCAGGCUAGAGUCUUGUAGAGGGGUUAGAAUUUCGAGGUGUAGCGGUGAAAUGCGUAGAGAUCUGAAGGAAUACCAGUGGCGAAGGCGGCCCCUGGACAAAGACUGACGCUCAGAUGCGAAAGCGUGGGAGCAAACAGGAUUAGAUACCCCUGGUAGCGACUGA